GAUGAAGAACGUAGCGAAAUGCGAUAAGUAAUGUGAAUUGCAGAAUUCAGUGAAUCAUCGAAUCUUUGAACGCACAUUGCGCCCGCUGGUAUUCCGGCGGGCAUGCCUGUUCGAGCGUCAUUUCAACCCUCAAGCUCUCCGGAGUUUGGUGUUGGGGCGCCUGGGGCUUUUCGACCUCAGGGCCCUCAAGUCCAUCGGCGGGACCGCCAGGACACUGAGCGCAGUAGUAUUAUUUCGCUCGGUAGGAUCUUCCACGGCGGGUCGAUCUGGCCGCUAAACCCCCCAAUUCUCACCAAAGGUUGACCUCGGAUCAGGUAGGAAUACCCGCUGAACUUAAGCAUAUCAAUAGCGGAGGA
rnacentral:misc_RNA from 1 species